AUUGAACGCUGGCGGCAUGCCUUACACAUGCAAGUCGAACGGUAACAGGUCUUCGGAUGCUGACGAGUGGCGAACGGGUGAGUAAUACAUCGGAACGUGCCUAGUAGUGGGGGAUAACUACUCGAAAGAGUGGCUGAUACCGCAUGAGAUCUACGGAUGAAAGCAGGGGAUCGCAAGACCUUGUGCUACUAGAGCGGCCGAUGGCAGAUUAGGUAGUUGGUGGGAUAAAAGCUUACCAAGCCGACGAUCUGUAGCUGGUCUGAGAGGACGAUCAGCCACACUGGGACUGAGACACGGCCCAGACUCCUACGGGGGGCAGCAGUGGGGAAUUUUGGACAAUGGGCGCAAGCCUGAUCCAGCAAUGCCGCGUGCAGGAUGAAGGCCUUCGGGUUGUAAACUGCUUUUGUACGGAACGAAAAGCCCUGGGUUAAUACCCUGGGGUCAUGACGGUACCGUAAGAAUAAGCACCGGCUAACUACGUGCCAGCCGCCGCCGUAAUAC
rnacentral:rRNA from 1 species